CAAUCGCCAGGCACGCUGUUGUUGUUCUCUCGAUCUCCAUCCAUCAAACUUGGCUUAACCUACCACACUGCCCAAUCGAGCAAGGGCUGCCGCGAGCAGCGCAUCCUCCUCCGCAUCUUCUCUCUAACAGAUCCAACACAUCCUCCUCCUCCUC